UUGAUGGAGGUCGACGACCGGCGCACGGGUGAGUAACGCGUAUGCAACCUACCUUUUACAGGAGGGUAGCCCAGAGAAGUUUGGAUUAAUACUCCAUAGUACUAAUGAAUCACCUGGUUUAUUAGUUAAAACUCCGGUGGUAAAAGAUGGGCAUGCGUGUCAUUAGCUAGUUGGUAAGGUAACGGCUUACCAAUGCGAAGAUGACUAGGGGUUCUGAGAGGAAGAUCCCCCACACUGGUACUGAGACACGGACCAGACUCCUACGGGAGGCAGCAGUGAGGAAGUGUGGUCAAUGGGUGAGAGCCUGAACCAGCCAUGUCGCGUGAAGGAAGACUGCCCUAUGGGUUGUAAACUUCUUUUCUGCAGGAAGAAAUCACUCUACGUGUAGGGUGUUGCCGGUACUGCAGGAAUAAGCAUCGGCUAACUCCGUGCCAGCAGCCGCGGUAAUACGGAGGAUGCAAGCGUUAUCCGGAUUUAUUGGGUUUAAAGGGUGCGUAGGCGGGCUUGUAAGUCAGUGGUGAAAUGCUGUGGCUUAACCAUAGAAUUGCCAUUGAAACUGCGAGUCUUGAGUACAGUUGAGGUGGGCGGAAUGAGUAAUGUAGCGGUGAAAUGCAUAGAUAUUACUCAGAACUCCGAUUGCGUAGGCAGGUUGCUAAACUGUAACUGACGCUGAUGCACGAAAGCGUGGGGAGCGAACAGGAUUAGAUACCCUGGUAAUCCAAGCUGUAAACGAUGAGCACUGGUUGUUGGGAAUACACAGUCAGCGAAGUGAGCGAAAGUAUUAAGUGCUCCACCUGGGGAGUACGUCGGCAACGAUGAAACUCAAAGGAAUUGACGGGGGCCCGCACAAGCGGAGGAACAUGUGGUUUAAUUCGAUGAUACGCGAGGAACCUUACCUGGGCUUAAAUGUAGAGUGCAUUGUUUGGAAACAAACAUUUUCUUCGGAACUCUUUACAAGGUGCUGCAUGGUUGUCGUCAGCUCGUGCCGUGAGGUGUCGGGUUAAGUCCCAUAACGAGCGCAACCCCUGUUGUUAGUUACCAGCACGUAAUGGUGGGGACUCUAGCAAGACUGCCGGUGUAAACCGUGAGGAAGGUGGGGAUGACGUCAAAUCAGCACGGCCCUUAUGUCCAGGGCUACACACGUGUUACAAUGGCAAGUACAAAGAGCAGCCACCUGGCGACAGGGCGCUAAUCUCAAAAGCUUGCCUCAGUUCGGAUCGAAGUCUGCAACUCGACUUCGUGAAGGUGGAUUCGCUAGUAAUCGCGCAUCACCCAUGGCGCGGUGUAUACGUUCCCGGGCCUGUACACACCGCCCGUCAAGCCAU
rnacentral:rRNA from 1 species